GACGAACGCUGGCGGCAUGCCUAACACAUGCAAGUCGAACGAGACGGUCUGGUUUAGCUGCGCGAGGGUGGGUACCGCGUUGGAACAUGGGCGUGGGUUAGGAGUAACACCCCGACAGAGGUGCUAAAAACGGCUAGUGUCCUCGGACCAAGGCUCUAUCGCAUUUGAAUGGGGCGGCGGUGGUUUAGCUAGUUGGUAGGGUAAAAGCCGACCAAGGCGACGCUUCACAGCUGGUCGGAGAGGUUGAGCAGCCACACUGGGACUGAGACACGGCCGAGACUCCUACGGGAGGCAGCAGUGGGGAAUAUUGAACAAUGGGCGCAAGCCUGAUCCAGCAGGGCCGCGUGAGGGAUGAAGGCCUUAGGGGUGUAAAGCUCUUUUACCUGGGAUGAUAAUGACAGUACCGGGAGAAGAAGCUCCGGCUAACUCCGUG
rnacentral:rRNA from 1 species